UUGACCCUGGUCUCAUAUGCGCCAAGAACCUCAAAUUUAAAAUUGGGAUUUUUUUUUACUUAAAAAAAAAAUCUGACUACCCUCAAAUAUACAAAUGAUUCUAGUCUUCCCUGAUUUCUAAAAGGUCCUGAUACCAAACAUGAACCUGCAUUUUCAUCCAUCUUUGCAACCAGUAUUGAUAGAGUGGCUACUGUGACUUGCACUAAGCUGGGUGGGCAUGCUUUAGGCACCCAGGGAAGCAAGGCAUGGUCUCUCACCUCAAGGAGCCCACCCACUUCCAGGAGAAACAGGUCUGUCCACUUGAAACUGCCCUGGUGUGAUGCAUGGCUUGCUGGAGGCAUGGAGAAGUGGGAAAAUUCUAAGGUGAUUCGAGUUGGGACCUACUCAGAGAAUGGUUCAUAUAAGGAAGAAUAAGUACCCCGAUAUGGGUGGAUAAUUUCUCACAAGAGACAUGACUUGAGCAAAGAUACACAAACAUAAAAAGUAGCUUUGCCACUUCAUUCUUGGGCCCACGCUGAAGAACCAGUCUUUUUCUGAAACAUUGCUAAGAAUGUGGCAGAAGGAAGAGAUAUGGCAGAACUUCAUCAUGGCCCUGACAAACUCUGCUCUGAAAACCUUCAUGAUGGUGCUGAAAACUGACUCCCCCUGAGAGUUCCUUGGCUAAAUGAGUCACUUGGCCAAGCCUGACAUCCUCAGAGUGGGAAAACAAUCUUCCCAAAAUAAGGGCACCAUAAAUUACAUAGCCAAACCUCAUGUCAGUAGAAUGGCAGGUAAAAUCCUCCCACAAGAAGGAGCAGCAUAUAUUUGGAAAUAAAAAAUGCAGUCCA
rnacentral:lncRNA from 1 species